UACGGAGGAGGCAAGCGUUAUCCGGACUUAUUGGGCGUAAAGCGUCCGCAGGUGGCGAUUCAAGUCUGCGGUCAAAGACUGGGGCUUAACCCUGGAAAGGCCGUGGAAACUGAAAAGCUAGAGUGCAGUAGGGGUAGAGGGAAUUCCCGGUGUAGCGGUGAAAUGCGUAGAGCUCGGGAAGAACAUCGGUGGCGAAAGCGCUCUGCUGGACUGCAACUGACACUCAGGGACGAAAGCUAGGGGAGCGAAUGGG
rnacentral:rRNA from 1 species